rnacentral:misc_RNA from 1 species
UUGUGGAGGAGGACGCCGAAGGUGGGGCUAAUGACUGGGGUGAAGUCGUAACAAGGUAGCCGUACCGGAAGGUGCGGCUGGAUCACCUCCUAACAGGGAGACAACAAAAUGUAAAUAUUAAUUUUGUCACCUUAGGUCGAUCGGUAUCUCAGAUUCUUAUUUUUUAAGAAUUUCAGUUUCUAAGUUUUUUCUAGGUCGCACCCAUCUCCUUUUCCUGGGCCAUUAGCUCAGGUGGUUAGAGCGCACCCCUGAUAAGGGUGAGGUCCCUGGUUCAAGUCCAGGAUGGCCCAUAUCUCUAUGUUGGGGGUAUAGCUCAGUUGGUAGAGCGCCUACUUUGCAAGCAGGAUGUCAGCGGUUCGAGUCCGCUUACCUCCACUGAAUACCACCUCUUACAUAUUUAAAGAGGGAAAUUGUUUUGAGUCGUGUCCUAAUUUGCUCUGAGCGAAUCUAGCUUCCUAUUUUAUUCAAUAAAUAAGAUGCUGGACUCAUUGAAUUUUUUUUCAUUGUUUUCAGAGAACCUUGACAACUGCAUAGAUUAUUUUUAAAGACAAUAAGCAUCUUUAUGAUGCAGAUUUAUUAUUUGUGCAAAUGCAUUAAUAACAAUUCUAUUAAGCUGAUGCUUCAAUUAUGAAGUUAUUGGUCAAGCUACAA